GAUGAACGCUGGCGGCGUGCUUAACACAUGCAAGUCGAACGAUGAAGCCCAGCUUGCUGGGUGGAUUAGUGGCGAACGGGUGAGUAACACGUGAGUAACCUGCCCUUAACUCUGGGAUAAGCCUGGGUAACUGGGUCUAAUACCGGAUAGGAGCGCCUACCGCAUGGUGGGUGUUGGAAAGAUUUAUCGGUUUUGGAUGGACUCGCGGCCUAUCAGCUUGUUGGUGAGGUAAUGGCUCACCAAGGCGACGACGGGUAGCCGGCCUGAGAGGGUGACCGGCCACACUGGGACUGAGACACGGCCCAGACUCCUACGGGAGGCAGCAGUGGGGAAUAUUGCACAAUGGGCGAAAGCCUGAUGCAGCGACGCCGCGUGAGGGAUGACGGCCUUCGGGUUGUAAACCUCUUUCAGUAGGGAAGAAGCGAAAGUGACGGUACCUGCAGAAGAAGCACCGGCUAACUACGUG
rnacentral:rRNA from 1 species